rnacentral:tRNA from 2 species
CUCCCCGUAGUUAAACAGGAUAUAACUACCGCCUCCUAAGCGGUGAUUCCAGGUUCGAGUCCUGGCGGGGAGGCCA